rnacentral:misc_RNA from 1 species
GAUGAAGAACGUAGCGAAAUGCGAUAAGUAAUGUGAAUUGCAGAAUUCAGUGAAUCAUCGAAUCUUUGAACGCACAUUGCGCCCACUGGUAUUCCGGUGGGCAUGCCUGUCCGAGCGUCAUGAAGACCACCUCUAGGCCCUCUGCCUAGCGUUGGGGAUCCGCCCAGGCGGUCCCUCAAAGCUCCCAGCGGAGCCGCGGCAUCCUCUAAGCGUAGUAGUGAAAUCUCGCUUCUGUGGGUGCUGUGGUCCCAGCUGCCAGAACCCCAAGCACAUGGUUGACCUCGGAUCAGGUAGGAAUACCCGCUGAACUUAAGCAUAUCAAUAAGCGGAGGA